rnacentral:rRNA from 1 species
CCCUUAGAUGUUCUGGGCCGCACGCGUGCUACACUGAUGCAUUCAACGAGUCUAAAACCUGGUCUGAUAGGGCUGGGUAAUCUUUUGAAAGUGCAUCGUGAUUGGGAUAGAUGAUUGCAAUUCUUCAUCUUCAACGAGGAAUGCCUAGUAAACGCAAGUCAUCAGCUUGCAUUGAUUACGUCCCUGCCCUUUGUACACACCGUCCGUCGCUCCUACCGAUUGAAUGAUCCGAUGAAUACCAUGGAUUGAGAGUACGAAUAGGUUCGCUUAUUUCUGCUGCUCGAGAAGUGGAGUAAAUCUUAUCAUUUAGAGGAAGGAGAAGUCGUAACA